UUUGUCUAACGUUAUAGUGUAAUCCUUCACCACAAUUGUUUACAAUAAAUCACAGCUAUCAAAUAUUACAUGAAAAAUGUUGAGUACUGUCGAAUUUAUCGUCGAAUUUAGCGUUACAGAAUAGCAGCGAAUUUACCGUCGGAUUUACCGGCAGUAACCAUGUGAAAUUUGUAAGGUGUUUUAGUUACCGGCAGAUUUUGUUUUCCGACAGUAAAUUCGCCGGUAAUUUUUGGAGGAAAAAUAAAUUAAAUUGGCGUGUUCUUUACCAUCAGGUUUACCGUAACUCAAUUUAGUGAAACGAUGUGUUUUGGUGACCUACAAUGGUGUACCGUCGAAAUUUUUCGACGGUAAAAGUGGCGUAAAUUCAAAUCACGAACCUAUUUCUCAUCAUUCGAACUCUCACCACCAUAACCACCAUUCCUCUCUCUCUCUCUUGCGCGUGUACUAGCUAGCCACCUGCCGCCGAGAUCAUUGCCGUUGCCACCCCCUCUCUGUCGCCAUCAACCCCACUAUUGGCGUGCCUCCUUCUUCUCCUUCUUCUCCUCCCUCUUAGCAUCGUCGCGAUCCUUUCCUCCUUCUCCUUUUCGCCCUUCUCAAUCCAUAGCCUCCAGCUCCCUGCUCCGGCAGCUCACAACCGCCACCUCUAGCAUCAGCAACAACCCGAUGUCGUCGUCUUCCUCCCUCCUUCUUCGUUGCUUUCUGCACCCUACAUUCAAGAUUCUUUAAUUUGUUUGAACUUUUUUUUUAAAUCCUGGUAGUUAUUUUAAUUCAUUAGAUUGGUUUAAUUAGUUGAGUUAGGAUAGUUUAGUUUAGAUUUAUAGAUUCUGAAUUGUUACUGCAAGUGUCUGAAAGUGUACUAGCGGCUCAACAACCUUCAUGAAGAUGAAGGAAAGAAUGUCGAAGUCGUUGGAUUGCGAGGCGACGUUGGCGGAGACGUUCAAGUACACCCACACGCUAAAGGAGAACAAUGAGACAUUUGUUUAUCAGCGAUUUCAGGAUCAUUAUGAGUCCUACACAUAGAGACCAGAGACCGCGAGUCAGCCGUCUCAGCAAGGUGGGGAGGACGCCGCUGAUGGAUCUGCAACUAUAGUCGUCGAUCCCGAUGCGGUUUGGCGUGAGACCGCCUCAGCGCCGUACAAGAACCGCGUAUACGGGAUCAGAUCGUUCUUUGCCAGCAGCCUCCACACAUCCACGUUGAGGCCGUCGUCAAGCUCUGCCACUAGUCGAGCCAUUGAGUCCAAAGAAGGCGUGGAUUUGCGGUUGCAGGUUCAAGAGCUCCAGCGCAGCUUUCAGUAGCAGGCUCAGGAGUUUAACGAUUAUUGGAAGAGGUAUCAGGAGAUCCUCAUCCGUGUGACGUCUACUGAUGGGCUCAGACUGAAGUUCCAAAAGUCGAUGGAAUAGAUGCAGCGUUUGGAGGCUCAAAUAAAUGUGUACUACCAGACCCAGAUAUGCACCACUGACAUUGACCUUGCUGGUGGCAGCGAUCCUGCUAGUGACAGGCUUACAGUAGUCCUAUUUCAUGAGAAUCUAUUUCAUGUACACUAAAAAAUUUAUAAACCUAUCAUGAAUAGGAUUAUCAAGGUAAAAUUUAGUUGUCCAUAUAUAUAUAUAACAAAAUCAUCAUAUAUAGGUAUAAA